rnacentral:lncRNA from 1 species
GUUUUAUUUUCAGCUUAUAAAAUCUCUGAAGUUUAAAAUACAGAAACUAAAUGAAACCCUGCUGGAAGCUAAUGAAGGCUACAGAAAAAUGGCAGAAGAGAAUAGUAGACUGAGGCAUACAGUCAUGCUUAAGGAUCAAGAAAUGAGUAAUCUUCAGAACUGGGCUAAACGUGUUCUUGAGCUUGAAGAAACAGUGUAUUCUCUGCAAAAGGAACUUGAUGAACGCAAAAAGCAUUUGUGUGCAGAAGAUCCAAAGCAACAAAAACCUAAGAGAGGUUUGUUAGCUAACCUGAAAUCCACAGUAGCAGGCACUUCUGGUACACCCCUUGGUAAAGGCUGGGGGAAGUAUGAAGACUCUUCAACCUCUUCAAGAAAGCAAAUACCAUUGGCUCAUAAAGUAAAAGAAUAAUAUUUGAUUAAAGUGUGCAACUGCCGGGCUUCUUCAACAUUCCUGAACUGUUGGUAGCUUUUUCUCACUCUGAAAGUAGAUGCAAUCUUCACUGUCAUGGUAACUGAUAGAAAAAUAUUUAAUACAAAACUUUAAAUCAAAUCAGGGUAGAACUUACAGAACUGUACAAGUGUAGACCCAAACUUUGGUUUUUAACAAUUGAUAUGGGGAUAUUUUUUUAGUCUUGAGUUACUGCUGUCAUGGACUCCUGCAUUGAUAAAUGUACGACUUACGUGAAGAGAGAUGUUCCUCUUCUGCUGCUCUUGUUACCUUUUUAUAUUAAAUACUUGGGAAUUCCUAGAAUCAGAGCUUGUAAACUUUACCUCAGGCACUUGAAAUUGGUUGUUUCUUUAGUAACAGUCUGACUUUGCCUUGAAAACUGCUAUGUUCGGAUCGAACCGAGCAAAUUCUUGAAAGUAAGAUGUUUAAUGGAAGCAACAAAGCUAGGUCUUGUGCCUCCUUGCUGUUUUUCAGCUAACUUUGUACAGGAACUUGUUUUAAUAUUGUUCAAAGUUUCACUAAGAAUGUGCAUGAAACUUUAAAAUCUAUUUAUAAUAAAAUUUUGAGUUACUAGCUUAUGUUCUGUUUA